rnacentral:tRNA from 1 species
GCGAGCGUGCUGAAAUUGGUAAACAGACAGGACUUAAAAUCCUGCGGAGUCUGACUCCUUGUGGGUUCAAGUCCCACCGCUCGCACCA